rnacentral:rRNA from 1 species
AGAGUUUGAUCCUGGCUCAGAUUGAACGCUGGCGGCAUGCCUUACACAUGCAAGUCGAACGGCAGCACGAGAGCUUGCUCUUGGUGGCGAGUGGCGAACGGGUGAGUAAUAUAUCGGAACGUACCCUAGAGUGGGGGAUAACGUAGCGAAAGUUACGCUAAUACCGCAUACGAUCUACGGAUGAAAGUGGGGGAUCGCAAGACCUCAUGCUCAUGGAGCGGCCGAUAUCUGAUUAGCUAGUUGGUGGGGUAAAAGCUCACCAAGGCGACGAUCAGUAGCUGGUCUGAGAGGACGACCAGCCACACUGGAACUGAGACACGGUCCAGACUCCUACGGGAGGCAGCAGUGGGGAAUUUUGGACAAUGGGCGCAAGCCUGAUCCAGCAAUGCCGCGUGAGUGAAGAAGGCCUUCGGGUUGUAAAGCUCUUUUGUCAGGGAAGAAACGGUGGACUCUAAUACAGAUCACUAAUGACGGUACCUGAAGAAUAAGCACCGGCUAACUACGUGCCAGCAGCCGCGGUAAUACGUAGGGUGCAAGCGUUAAUCGGAAUUACUGGGCGUAAAGCGUGCGCAGGCGGUUGUGCAAGACAGAUGUGAAAUCCCCGGGCUCAACCUGGGAAUUGCAUUUGUGACUGCACGGCUAGAGUGUGUCAGAGGGGGGUAGAAUUCCACGUGUAGCAGUGAAAUGCGUAGAGAUGUGGAGGAAUACCGAUGGCGAAGGCAGCCCCCUGGGAUAACACUGACGCUCAUGCACGAAAGCGUGGGGAGCAAACAGGAUUAGAUACCCUGGUAGUCCACGCCCUAAACGAUGUCUACUAGUUGUCGGGUCUUAAUUGACUUGGUAACGCAGCUAACGCGUGAAGUAGACCGCCUGGGGAGUACGGCCGCAAGAUUAAAACUCAAAGGAAUUGACGGGGACCCGCACAAGCGGUGGAUGAUGUGGAUUAAUUCGAUGCAACGCGAAAAACCUUACCUACCCUUGACAUGUCUGGAAUCCUUGAGAGAUCAGGGAGUGCUCGAAAGAGAAUCAGAACACAGGUGCUGCAUGGCUGCCGUCAGCUCGUGUCGUGAGAUGUUGGGUUAAGUCCCGCAACGAGCGCAACCCUUGUCAUUAGUUGCUACGAAAGGGCACUCUAAUGAGACUGCCGGUGACAAACCGGAGGAAGGUGGGGAUGACGUCAAGUCCUCAUGGCCCUUAUGGGUAGGGCUUCACACGUCAUACAAUGGUACAUACAGAGGGCCGCCAACCCGCGAGGGGGAGCUAAUCCCAGAAAGUGUAUCGUAGUCCGGAUUGUAGUCUGCAACUCGACUACAUGAAGUUGGAAUCGCUAGUAAUCGCGGAUCAGCAUGUCGCGGUGAAUACGUUCCCGGGUCUUGUACACACCGCCCGUCACACCAUGGGAGCGGGUUUCACCAGAAGUGGGUAGCCUAACCGCAAGGAGGGCGCUCACCACGGUGGGA